UGCCCGAAAUCGGCGUCAAUCGCCCGCAUCGAACGACCGCCGUCGUCGCCUCGAGACGUCACACGUCGGUGAGUGCGACGCCGGCGUCGGUUAGGAAUGC
rnacentral:misc_RNA from 1 species